UAAUCCCAGCUACUCGGGAGGCUCAGGAGAAUCACUUGAAACCAGGAGGCGGAGGUUGCAGUGAGCCAAGAUCACACCACUGCACUCCAGCCUGGGCAACAAGAGCGAAACUCCGUCUCAAAAAAAAAAAAAAAAAAAAAAAAGAAAAAGAAAAAAAAUUAAAACAAUUGUAAAAAGGUUCAUCCAUUUUGCAGCAUGUCAGAAUUUCUUUCCUUUUCAAGGUUAAUAAUGUUUCAUUCAUUGUAUGCAUCCAGCAUUUUAUCCAUUCAUCCACUGAUGGGCACUUGGGUUGCUUCCACCUUAGCCAUUGCUGAUAAUAUUGCUAUGAACAAGGGUGUACAAAUAUCUCUUUGAGACCCUACUCUCAAUUCUUUUGCACAUAUAUACAUAUAUAUAUAUACACAUAUAUGUAUAUAUACACACACACAUAUAUAUACACAUAUAUGUAUAUAUACACACACACACAUAUAUAUGUACCCAGAAGUGGAACUGCUGGAUCAUAUGGUAAUUCCAUGUUUAAUAUUUUGAGGAACUUACAUAUUAUUUUCCAAAGCAGUUGCAUUACUUACAUUCCCAUCAAGAGUGUACAUGACUUCUAAUAUCUCUACAUGCUCUCUAACAAUUGUUAUUUUCAAUUUUUUUGACAGUAACCAUCCUCAUGGGUGUGAGGUGGUAUUUUGUUGUGAUUUUGACUUGUGGAUUAGUGACACUGAACCACUUUUCAUGUGCUUGUUGGCCAACUGUUAUCUUCUUUGGAGAAAUAUCUAUUCAAAUCUUUUACCUUUUUUUUAAAGACAGGGUAUCAUUCUGUCACCCAGGCUGGAGUGCAGUGGCAAAAUCAGGGCUCACUGCAGCCUCAUCUCUUGGGCUGAAGCGAUCCUCCCACCUCAGCCUCCUGAGUAGCUGGGAUUACAGGUAUCUGCCACCACGCCUGGCUAAUCUUUAAAUUUUUUGUGGAGACAGGGUCUCACCAUGAUGCCCAGGCUGGUCGUGAACUCUUGGGCUCAAGUAAUCUUCCUGCCUUAGCCUACCAAAGUGCUGGGAUUCUAGUGUGAGCCACAGUGCUCGGCCAUUUUUGCUGCCCCCAACCCCUUUUUGGCAGAGUCUCCCUCUGUCACCCAGGCUGAAGUGCAGUGGUGUGAUUACGGCUCACUGCAGCCUCAACCUCCCAGGAUCAAGUGACGCUCCUGAAUGGCCUCCAAAGUAGCUGAGACUGCAGGCACGCGCCUCCAUGCCCGGCUAAUUUUUAAAAUGUUCUGUAGAGAUGGGGUCUCUCUAUGUUGCCCAGGCUAGUCUCAAACUCCUGAACUCAAGAUAUCCUCCUGCCUUGGCCUCCCAAAGUAUUGGGAUUACAGGCAUUGCUCGACCUUCUGCCCAUUUUAAAUUGGGUUUUCUGUUGUUGACAGAGAGAUUUUAUUUGAUAAUAAUUUAAAUAAGAAAAAAAAUUAAAACAAUUGUAAAAAGGUUCAUCCAUUUUGCAGCAUGUCAGAAUUUCUUUCCUUUUCAAGGUUAAUAAUGUUUCAUUCAUUGUAUGCAUCCAGCAUUUUAUCCAUUCAUCCACUGAUGGGCACUUGGGUUGCUUCCACCUUAGCCAUUGCUGAUAAUAUUGCUAUGAACAAGGGUGUACAAAUAUCUCUUUGAGACCCUACUCUCAAUUCUUUUGCACAUAUAUACAUAUAUAUAUAUACACAUAUAUGUAUAUAUACACACACACAUAUAUAUACACAUAUAUGUAUAUAUACACACACACACAUAUAUAUGUACCCAGAAGUGGAACUGCUGGAUCAUAUGGUAAUUCCAUGUUUAAUAUUUUGAGGAACUUACAUAUUAUUUUCCAAAGCAGUUGCAUUACUUACAUUCCCAUCAAGAGUGUACAUGACUUCUAAUAUCUCUACAUGCUCUCUAACAAUUGUUAUUUUCAAUUUUUUUGACAGUAACCAUCCUCAUGGGUGUGAGGUGGUAUUUUGUUGUGAUUUUGACUUGUGGAUUAGUGACACUGAACCACUUUUCAUGUGCUUGUUGGCCAACUGUUAUCUUCUUUGGAGAAAUAUCUAUUCAAAUCUUUUACCUUUUUUUUAAAGACAGGGUAUCAUUCUGUCACCCAGGCUGGAGUGCAGUGGCAAAAUCAGGGCUCACUGCAGCCUCAUCUCUUGGGCUGAAGCGAUCCUCCCACCUCAGCCUCCUGAGUAGCUGGGAUUACAGGUAUCUGCCACCACGCCUGGCUAAUCUUUAAAUUUUUUGUGGAGACAGGGUCUCACCAUGAUGCCCAGGCUGGUCGUGAACUCUUGGGCUCAAGUAAUCUUCCUGCCUUAGCCUACCAAAGUGCUGGGAUUCUAGUGUGAGCCACAGUGCUCGGCCAUUUUUGCUGCCCCCAACCCCUUUUUGGCAGAGUCUCCCUCUGUCACCCAGGCUGAAGUGCAGUGGUGUGAUUACGGCUCACUGCAGCCUCAACCUCCCAGGAUCAAGUGACGCUCCUGAAUGGCCUCCAAAGUAGCUGAGACUGCAGGCACGCGCCUCCAUGCCCGGCUAAUUUUUAAAAUGUUCUGUAGAGAUGGGGUCUCUCUAUGUUGCCCAGGCUAGUCUCAAACUCCUGAACUCAAGAUAUCCUCCUGCCUUGGCCUCCCAAAGUAUUGGGAUUACAGGCAUUGCUCGACCUUCUGCCCAUUUUAAAUUGGGUUUUCUGUUGUUGACAGAGAGAUUUUAUUUGAUAAUAAUUUAAAUAAUAUUACUUUUAAUAUUGAUAAUUUAAAGAAAUAUUUUUGAAAUAUGUAUUUUAAAUGUUAUAUAAAAUGCAUUUCAAGUAUUCCAGUGUAAAAUAUACACUGUGCUCUCCCAAUCAGAAUGGAAUGGACUUUAUUUGAACCCCUACAGAUAACAAUAUUGUCAUUAAAAAUUAGGAAACUGAAAUUUAGAAAGGAUGAGCACCUUAUCCAACAGGACACUGAAUUUUUCAGUACUACCUUCAGAGAUCACUGAACUGUAGCCUGUUUUUGUCUAGGCUUAACUAGGGAAGAAGCCACUUUCGAUCUCACGCAAAUGGUUAACAGAAUCUAUUUCCUGUGGCUGGGGAGCUGAGGGCUCUGGCUUCUUGCUGACUAUUGGCUGCAGUCCUCCCUUAGCUCCUAGAGGCCUCCUGCAGUUCAUGUCCCCAUGUGCCUCCUCAACAUGUGCACUUCAUUAAGCCAAGGAGAGCCUAGAGCUAGUUUGCUAGCAAGAUGGAGUCUUAUACAGUGUAACAUAAUCGUGC
rnacentral:lncRNA from 1 species